GAUGAACGCUGGCGGCGUGCCUAAUACAUGCAAGUCGAACGGGGAGUAGCAAUACUCUUAGUGGCGAACGGGUGAGUAACGCGUUGGUACCUGCCCCGAAGCGGGGGAUAACGGACCGAAAGGUCCGCUAAUACCCCAUGUGCUCGGUAACGAGUAAAGGUGAAAACCACUUUGGGAGGGGCAUGCGUCCCAUCAGCUAGUUGGUAAGGUAACGGCUUACCAAGGCGGUGACGGGUAGGGGACCUGAGAGGGUGGCCCCCCACAAUGGAACUGAAACACGGUCCAUACACCUACGGGUGGCAGCAGUAGGGAAUAUUGGUAAUGGGCGCAAGCCUGAACCAGCAACGCCGCGUGUGCGAUGACGGCCUUCGGGUUGUAAAGCACUUUUGACUGGGACGAGGAAGGACGGUACCGGUCGAAUCAGCCUCGGCUAACUACGUG
rnacentral:rRNA from 1 species